rnacentral:tRNA from 1 species
CGAGCGGUAGUUCAGUUGGCUAGACUCUUUGUUUAGAGAAAGUCGGCCUGUCACGCCGGGGGUCGCGGGUUCGAGUCCCGUCCGCUCUGCCA